rnacentral:misc_RNA from 1 species
UCUCCGUAGGUGAACCUGCGGAGGGAUCAUUACUGAGUGAGGGCUUCGGUCCGACCUCCAACCCUUUGUGAACUUACCAUUCUGUUGCCUCGGCGGGCCUCUGGGAUUCGUCCCAUGUCCGCCGGCGGCCCCUAUAAACUCUGUUACUUAUAAGCAAUCUGAGCGUUUUCCAAAAAUAAAGUUAAAACUUUCAACAACGGAUCUCUUGGUUCUGGCAUCGAUGAAGAACGCAGC